GAAACCGUUUAGGGGUAAACCUGAGAAACCCGAAAGGUCGAAGGAAGAAAUUCAAUCGUGCCCGAUAAGGUUAUUGUGCGGUAUUUGGUGUCGAUUGAUUUACGGAUCUAUUGCCCAUAUCGUAUGAUAUAUGUACCUUGUUGGACGCGUGCACUUUUCUUCUGGUAGGACGUCGCGAUCCAUUGAGUGUUGAUCUACGGUUUGGAUGGUAGACCUUGUUUUAUUAUGUUUAUUCAUUUUAUAAUAAGGACCUCUGAUACCCGAUCAACUGGCUCGAUGGUAUAUUUUUGAAAGAUUUUUAGUCGCUGCUUUAUGCGUUCGGCUUGUGGCAAGCACGUUAAAUGUUUCGGUGCAUCGGACCUGGUGCCGUGCCUGAUCCUUAAUGUCUGUUGGCCGCAAAUGUCUCGAACAGACUUUUAAUCGAUCUGCGACGAUAUAGCUUUGGGUAAUUUCAGGACCCGUCUUGAAACACGGACCAAGGAGUCUAGCAUGUACGCGAGUCAUUGGGAAUAACAAAACCUAAAGGCGCAAUGAAAGUAAAUAGUAGGCCUUGUGCCGACUAAUGGGAAGACGGGCAUUACAUAAUUUUAUGUGUGUCUUGCAUUCCUGGGGCGUCUCAUUCUCAUUGCGAGAGGAGGCGCACCAUGAGCGUACACGCUGGGACCCGAAAGAUGGUGAACUAUGCCUGGUC
rnacentral:rRNA from 1 species